CCUACACAAAUCUUCUAACGCACAGAAAACAGGUUUAUCAAGCCACGUUGUUGACAUUUGCAUACAUCCUCAGUAAGAGAGGAGCCACCUUAAUCAAUUUAUAUCACAGACACCGACCCGAAUCCUAUCCGCUCACUGAGCGUUGUGUACUUCCAGGAUCCUUGUUCACGCCCCACGUUGCAGAGCUCAACCCGGAGUGUAGGUACAAUUAGUAUUCCAGAAGAAACAGGCUUACCGGGGGAACUCUGUUUAAAACCACUUGUCUUUAUUUGUAAUACAUUAAAAUUCUUUAUGGCAGAAAAAGAA